rnacentral:rRNA from 1 species
UACGUAGGGACCAAGCGUUGUUCGGAUUUACUGGGCGUAAAGGGCGCGUAGGCGGCAAUUUCAAGUCAUCUGUGAAAUCUCCGGGCUUAACUCGGAACGGUCAGAUGAUACUGCUUUGCUAGAGUGCGGAAGGGGCAAUCGGAAUUCUUGGUGUAGUGGUGAAAUGCGUAGAUAUCGGGAGGAAUACCAGUGGCGAAGGCGGCCUUCUGGACGGAUACUGACGCUGAGGCGCGAAAGCCAGGGGAGCAAACGGG